GCCUGUGACCCAAAUACCCUAGAAGCACCAGAUGCCAACUGAUCUUGGAAGCUUAAGCAAGGCCAGCCCUGGUUAGUUCUUGGACAGUAGCCCACCAGCAAAUACUGGGUGCUGUAGGCU
rnacentral:rRNA from 11 species